CCUAAAAAUACCUUUCAGUCAAAAAUAUCUAGAUAAAUGUAGAGUUAGAGAAAGAGCGUAGCCAAAAAACUUGUGUUUUCCUGUGGAAACAGGAUGAUUCUAAAUACAUACAGCCUGAUUAUUUUGUAGCUAAGAGAACUAUCAAAUAGACAAAUGCAAAAUUAGAUUGUUGUCCAUUCAAUUUGAGUUGUAUGGAAUACGGGUGACAUAAAAAAAAAAAUCUCUGUAAAUGACGAAUAUUUAAAAUUACAUUUCACAAAAUGAUUGAACAAAAUGAUCAAACUGGUUGGCUUGGCAUAGUCAGUUUGUGAUCACAGAGAACAUCUCAGGUUUUCUAUUGGAAAUUUUUGAUUUUUUUGUUAAAUCACCACUUUAAUAUCAGAGAAUAAAUGAGAUUUUGAGUUUUGUACAUUUCCCACUUUAGUAAUGGAAAGUCAUGAGGGUGCAUAAUUUGUUUUGAUCUACAGUGGCCCUCAUAUGUCAUUGUAUAAUUAGACCCAUAACUUAAGUCCUUAAGCCCAUGUUGUUUCUGUUUAUAAAUGAAAAAUAACCAGUAAAAUCACAGAAAAAAGUAGGAUGAAAAAUAGAAUGUGUUAUAAAAAUGGUAAUUACUUCUUUUAAAAUUUUUCAUUGUAAAAACACACUAUUGUUUAACUGUAUUUAAAUCCAUAAAAAAAUUGUUACAUUACAGAUAUUUGUUGAUAUUUAAAGAAAAAAUAUGUAUAUUAAGGAUUGCAAAUAGUAAAUUACCACAUCAUUAAUCUUUAUCUUAUGAUGUGGAUUUAUGAUUUAUGAUGCUGUUUUUUGAACAUUACAGUAAUCCACAGAUUUUUUAAAAUUUAUUUUUCUUUUUUGUUUGUUUUUACAGUGUAGCUACAGUAUUUCUUCUACAUUUUCAUUUAGCAGACUUUUAUCCAAACCAGCAUACAUCUGGGAGUAGAUGCAACACAAACAAGGAUCUAAAUUUCUAAAGUUUUAAUAAUGCAGUUUCUUAGACUACUAGUUUGAAAAAUAGUGUGUGAAGACAUUCCUGCAAGCUUAACUUCUAAUUACAAAGGAUUUGGGAAUCUUUCUACAAACCAGUGCUGUCUUUUUCCAUUAAAGGUGUGACAUCAACGCUUCCCAUUCUUGAAGAGAGUAAAAGGAGAACACGUCUUCGCCCGUCUUAUCACUGUGGCACUGGGGAUUGUGUCGAACAGUGCUAGCAAUCUCUGGUCGGAUAUGAAGAUCUUAAAUCUUAACCCUUUAAAACUUCACUUGAGACACUGUUUUCUUCACAACCAGUUGUAAGGUACAAAUAUCGUAAGUAUCGAGGAGAUCUGAUUGACUCAGAGGGUGCGUUUUUACAGCAGAGAUGCUGGCUUUGAGAUGCACUCCGAAGGCUAAUCCCACUCUCUGAGGAGAGAGGCAGGUAUUGGCUUUGAUGAUAGAAAUGGAUUAAACAGAUUACAUUAAAGGCCAGUCUAAUUAAACCAAUCUAUCCUGAUUCUGCCACUGUAAGAUAAAUGAUGAGGGGGCCAGAUAGUAUAUAUAGGUCGUGUGUUUGUGUGUCUGACUCUGGGUUUCUCUGUGGACAUUUACAGGCUCACUUGGAAAAUACUGCAAGAGCACUUUCUUCUUGUUGAAACCUCUCAUACUGUACUGAAGUAUAAUCAGUUUGAGAGGUAUUCAAACUACAUAUGUACAAUUCGUAUCUAAUUUUUAUCCCAGAGCUGUCCAAUCCAUUUCCCCCCUGCACACACAAACAGACACACGAUGUGCAAUAAAAAACUGAGUCUUGCACUGGACUGCACUUUACCACUCAUCCUACUGCCCAUUUGCACUAAUUCUGUUUACAUAUUUAGAUAUUUUGAGGAUUUUUAUUUUAUUUGUGUAUAGUGUGCCUUUUAUUUAUCUUUUAUCUACAGUUGGGAGUUACAAAUCGAAAUUCCGCUGUGUGGAAACACAGUGACAAUAAAGAUUCUUGAUUCUGUUCAUGUCUGUGUGCUUAAACCAAUCAUCUACAACAUCAACGCCACCUGUUAAAUAUUGUAUAGGUGCAAAACAGCUCUAACUCACUGAGACCUGAACUUGACAGACUUCUGAAGGUGUCCUGUGGUAUUAGACAGAAGAAUGUUAGCAGCAGAUCCUUUAAAUCCUGGAAGUUGCAAGGUGGGGUGUUCCAAGGACCAGAAUUGUUUGUCCAGCACAUCCCACAGAUGCUCAUCUGGGCAAUUUGCAGGCCACGUCAACACCUUGCACUCUUUGUCAUGUUCCUCAAAUCAUUCCUUUGCACUGGGCAGGGAGUGGUAUCCCAUGAAGGAACAGAGUUGCCAUGAUGAGGUGCUGUGUCAAAAUAACCUUUCUAUGACAGUCACCACUUUUUUUUUUUUUUUUUUUUUUUUGCAGUUUUUUCUGCAGUAGCUCAUCUGUGGGAUUGCACCACAUAGGUUAGCCUUUGCUCUCUAUGCAUGAGCCUGGGGCACCAAUGACUCAGUUGUCCUACCUUGAGCCACUUUUGGUAGGUACUAACCACUCCAAACCAGGAACACACCACAACUGAGUCCUCGGCAAAGUUGCUCAGACCUUUACACUUGACUAAUUUCCUACUUCUAACACAUAAACUUUGAGAACUGACUGGUCACUUGCUGCCUAGUAUAUCCCAUCCCUUGACAGGUGUCAUUAUAACAAGAUGAUCAGUGUUGUUCACUUCACUCUUCAGUGAAGCGUGGCUGACAAAUGUAUGCAAGUUGUUCGCCAUAUUUGUUCAUUGUUGUUGCAUUAUUAAAGGUCAACCUCCAAGUUUGGUUGAUUCCAGUACCUUUUUGUGGUUGAUCCUCUCUUGCACAUUGUUGCUCAUGGGUAACUACAAAGGUGUUGGAAAUUGAAGCAUUACUUUUCCAUAUUAUUAUUAUUUUUUUAAUCUUUUAAGUUAGAUUUCCUCCGAUCACUGUAAAUUCUUCAAGAGGAAAAAAGGUUUCAAAACACCUCUACAACCUGCUGUAAGAUGCAAGGUCUGACUAAAAAGUAAAGUUAGUGAAAUAUCCACAUUCAUGCAUUGCUGAUCUUAGUCAAGCUUCAAAUCUUUACAAGUUGGUUUUCAAGACUGAAUAAAUUUUAAAAUGUGAAUGUAUCCUUUGAAAAUGUUUAUGGAUAAUGUAAAUGUAUGGCAUGGAAACAUGCAUGACAACCAGUACCAUAAAAUGUUGCUAAUGCACCAAAUUAAUUUCAUUAGUUGGAGGUUCAUUGGAGAAAUUUUGCACUCCAUUAUGGUCUAAAAUCUGUUUCAAAGCAUUAACAGUCAAAGGCAGAAAAUUGAAAUUAUUUCCAAUAAAGGGAACACAGAAAACUUGGAACUGUAUUGCAAAAAAAGAUAAAAUAUGUGGUCAAGAAUUUUUUAUGCCAUUGCUCUCCCUCACUUCCAACAGUGAUGCUUCAAACAAAUCAAAUUCUGAUCACUUAUGUAAGAGUGGUCAGCACAAAAGAAAUCAGUUCUACACCAGCACUUUGGAACCCAUCUGUCUCAGUACUAAAGCUUAUACUUUGCCUUCUUCUUUAACUUUUGGAAGAUUACCUGUGUGUGUGUGUGUGUGUGUGUGUGUGUGUGUGUGUGUGUGUGUGUGUGUGUGUGUGUGUGUGUGUGUGUGUGUGUGUGUGUGUGUGUGUGUGUGUGUGUGUGUGUGUGUACCUGUCCUUUUAGACAAGGUUAUUAUUGACGAUGUCAACUUGAAGUGAGUGUGAGAGGGUGACCUUUCCUUCCAACCUUGCUAUCAAUGUGAACUUGUUAAGCAGGACUGUUUAAUUAGCAGUGGAAUAGCAAUCAGAGAGGAGUCGGAGACCUCUGUAGUCAUAGACAUGGAUCAAUGGUCUUCAGGGAGCCUUUGCACACAGCAACAGGAGACCUUUACACACACUGUGUGUAAUUCUUUAUGCUGAUGCAUACUUACAUAUGCAUGCAAUUAUACAUUAAAAUGUACUACUCUAACUUUCAUUUGAACAUUCUGCUAGCAGUUUAGUAGAUUUUGUUGAUAUUUAGAUAGGAGAUUGAAAAAAAAAUGUAUCGUUAGCAAUCAUUUUAUCCAAAAACCUAUAACUAGUGUAACCCGCCUAAAAAGGGGUUAACUAAUAAUCUUUAUUCAUUUCAAUUAUUAUUUGUCCCUGUGUUGCGUUUUUGAGUCAUUUGUAUUUUUAUUUUGAAAACCGGAAGUUUAUUUUAUAUAGAAACCGGAAGUAGUGCUCUGUAAUACUCACUCUCGCCUAGCGAGUUAAUACGUCUGGAGCCCAGGCUUCUGUUUUCUCCCGUGUGGGUGUUAAACGAGGGAAAAGGGUAUGCAAACCUGGUUCUUUUUCUUUGACACUUCAAAUUUAUUUGUCAAUGAUGUAAACCUGUGUAAUUUCAUUUUAGAAGUCCGAGGACCGAUAGGGAAGCAUUGUGUUGCCCUGGUUUUCUGGUAGAAACCCCCUUCCUUGGUCAGGUCUUUUUGUGAUGCAAGAAAGAAUCGAGAAAUACCAGUCAUCCCACAAGGCGGACUGGCGAUCCAUUUGAUGGCGAGCCUCCCAUGACGAACUGUGGAAGUCCACCACACCGCUUAGCAAGUGGAUCUGGUGGUAGGAUCGUGUAAAUCUUGUUGUCCAACAACAAGAUACCCUUCCUGCAUACUUACUCAUGACUUUUGACUAUUCCCCCUGACUUUUGACUUGAACAAAUCUUGGAUCGGCAAAGAUCAGUACUCAUAAGGAACACUUUGAAAAAGACAAUUUAUUUCAUUUUUUUGUUAUUGGGCCCAUGGUUCUGUGCACAGUAUUUUUUGUACACUGUUAAAAAUAAUUUUUGCAAAACUAAAAGUUACAACUUUACCACUUUAAAUCUGUGUUGCUUCGUUAUUACUUAAACUCACAGCUCCUUACGAACCUAGUAGUGACGUGUACAUACCCUGAAGUGGGUUACACUAGAAAUAUGUUCUUACAAAAACAUGCCCUAGGAUGGGACAUAUAGCAUCUUAAACUGUCUGAUAGUAAAAACUCUGCCUGUACCGAAGCUGGAAUUUGGGGAUUAACAUAUACAGAAGCCCAAAAUUUCCUCUAUUUGUGAUUGUUGAACUUUUCAUUUCAACUUCAUGGCAAUUAAUAUGCUUCUUCUGAGUAAACCUGCUGCAAGAUUUUGUAAACUGGAUGCAAGGAUUUUAGUUUGGCCACUGAUGUUGGAUGACAAAGCACUGAUUUGCAUUUGAUGUUCAAAUUCAUCCCAAAGAUGAUGGAUGUUGCUGAGGUCACAGCGCAAGCUACUGAAGUUCUUCCUAAAAUCUUUAUAGGCAAGUCUUACCACUGAAGACCUAAGAAGACCAUGUCCUGUAUUAAUGAACAUGUAGACAGCCAUAGCUGCAACUUUUGGUGGUCACCAGAACAUAAAAAUUGCAUGGAUUAAAUUUGCAGGCAAAUCUGAAUAGAAUUGUUUAAAAGAUUUAGUGACUGCCCCAAAAAAGGGUUUAGAAAGCAUUUUUCCAUGCAAGUUAUACCUCUACUAUGUUGGCACAUAUUUUCAUGCCACUUUCUUAUGUCAGUGCAACAAUAAACUGUAGCAAAGCAGAUGAUUGGCUUUUUGGCAGUAGGCAUGAAACAUGCCAUCCAACUUUCAUUUUGGUAAUAAAGAAUUGUCCCUUG